GGGGGCGAACACGGGAGUCCGGUGAACCGGGCUGAGAGGAAGCUGUAGAGCUUCGACCGUCGAACCUGAUGCGGGUCAUGCCGACGCAGGGAGACUUCUCGUACCCGUGCC
rnacentral:ncRNA from 1 species